GCCUGAUCCAGCCAUGCCGCGUGCAGGAAGAAUGCCCUAUGGGUAGUAAACUGCUUUUAUACGGGAAGAAAAAGGGCUACGUGUAGCCCACUGACGGUACCGUAAGAAUAAGGACCGGCUAACUCCGUGCCAGCAGCCGCGGUAAUACGGAGGGUCCGAGCGUUAUCCGGAAUUAUUGGGUUUAAAGGGUCCGUAGGCGGGCCGAUAAGUCAGGGGUGAAAGUCUGCCGCUCAACGGUAGAAUUGCCUUUGAUACUGUCGGUCUUGAGUUAUGGUGAAGUUGGCGGAAUAUGUAGUGUAGCGGUGAAAUGCAUAGAUAUUACAUAGAACACCGAUUGCGAAGGCAGCUGACUAACCAUCGACUGACGCUGAUGGACGAAAGCGUGGGGAGCGAACAGGAUUAGAUACCCUGGUAGUCCACGCCGUAAACGAUGGAUACUAGCUGUCCGGGUCCUUGAGACCUGGGCGGCCAAGCGAAAGUGAUAAGUAUCCCACCUGGGGAGUACGUUCGCAAGAAUGAAACUCAAAGGAAUUGACGGGGGCCCGCACAAGCGGUGGAGCAUGUGGUUUAAUUCGAUGAUACGCGAGGAACCUUACCAGGGCUUAAAUGCAUAUUGACAGGGUCAGAGAUGACUUUUCCUUCGGGCAAUUUGCAAGGUGCUGCAUGGUUGUCGUCAGCUCGUGCCGUGAGGUGUCAGGUUAAGUCCUAUAACGAGCGCAACCCCUACCGUUAGUUGCCAGCGAGUCAUGUCGGGGACUCUAACGGGACUGCCGGUGCAAACCGUGAGGAAGGUGGGGACG
rnacentral:rRNA from 1 species